GUAAGGUGCAAGGCCAUAACAAGGUAGAUUGUGACGUCAAGAGUCCAUCUUAUCAUACAAGGGGACUGUUCAAUAGUCCUAUAACAGCAGGAUAGAAGCUGUCCUCGAGCCUGGUGAUAAAGUAAAAGGCAUGAAAUAAACAAUACACAAAGUGAUACUAAAUGUGAACAAAUAGGAAGAUCUUGCACUGAACCUUCCAUCACCUUGCUGAUAAAUGAGAGCGAACUGUUUGGAUUGAUUGACCUCCAACACCCACAGCCAUCUUCCUUUGUGAAAGUGCAUUGGAUAUCUCUGGCAAAAGAUUUAUUGUCCUAUAGCGGCUAGCUACACACCACGAAAUGAAGACACAGAGUCGCUGGUUUCGAAAUCGGAGGUCGAAUGCAGACCAGGGGCGCGGUGCGCCUUUAGUAGCCGAAAACUUCCCGCGCUACAGUUCCCGCGCUGACGUCACGCCCGGGUCACCUGACCUUCCUGCGCGCGGGCUUUCCCAGCCCAACGCUGGGGAAGAAGGAGGGCCCCGCGCCAUCUUGGAUCGGGGCCUCCGACGACAUCGCAAUGUCGGGAGCUGGUUCGAUGCCGGUGCGGUGAGUCGCUACA